rnacentral:sRNA from 1 species
AUCAGCAAGAAUUGGAAAUACUAAAGAAAGAAUAUGAUCAAGAAAGGGAAGAGAAAAUCAAACAGGAGCAGGAAGAUUUUGAACUGAAGCACAAUUCCACAUUAAAACAGCUGAUGAGGGAGUUUAAUACACAGCUGGCACAAAAGGAACAAGAGCUGGAAAUGACCAUAAAAGAAACUAUCAAUAAGGCCCAGGAGGUGGAGGCUGAACUUUUAGAAAGCCAUCAAGAAGAGACAAAUCAGUUACUUAAAAAAAUUGCCGAGAAAGAUGAUGAUCUAAAACGAACAGCCAGAAGAUAUGAAGAAAUCCUUGAUGUUUGUACCUUAUUUCUUCUCUCUCACUUUUGAAAUUUAGCUGUAAUAGAUUUCAUGGUAGUGCCAAAGAUUUCCUUUUCAAAUGUGUUUUUUGAACGAAAAGGGUUUUUUUUUUGACUCAAUAUUAUUCAAAUUAGUACUGUUAUAUGCAGAUUUAUAAAGUUGAGUUGAUUUCUGCCAGGAUUGUAGUUUCCUGAUGAGAUUCUGCUAACUAGGCAGCACAGUCCCCUUGCUAGUAUUGAAGC